CAUCUUUGAGAAACCACCAUAAUACUUUCGUAUUAAAAGAGUUUAGAGCCUCCUCAAAGCCU
rnacentral:tRNA from 1 species